ACUCCUACGGGAGGCAGCAGUGAGGAAUAUUGGUCAAUGGGCGCAAGCCUGAACCAGCCAUGCCGCGUGCAGGAAGACUGCCUUAUGGGUUGUAAACUACUUUUAUACAGGAAGAAACGUACCCUCGUGAGGGUGCCUGACGGUACUGUAGGAAUAAGCACCGGCUAACUCCGUGCCAGCAGCCGCGGUAAUACGGAGGGUGCGAGCGUUAUCCGGAUUUAUUGGGUUUAAAGGGUCCGUAGGCGGAUUAAUAAGUCAGUGGUGAAAUCCCAUCGCUUAACGAUGGAACUGCCAUUGAUACUGUUAGUCUUGAAUGAGGGUGCAGUGGUUGGAAUGUGUAGUGUAGCGGUGAAAUGCAUAGAUAUUACACAGAACACCGAUUGCGAAGGCAGAUCACUAACCCUAAAUUGACGCUGAGGGACGAAAGCGUGGGGGAGCGAACAGGAUUAGAUACCCU
rnacentral:rRNA from 1 species